UAUUCUUAAAAGUUUCUUGCUGAGCUAAAGGGAAUAAAUUAUGAUGAUUACUGCCAGAUUGUCAUCCAAAAGGAUUAUUCCAUUUUAAACUCAUAAAAAGUGCCUAAGAGUAUUUCUCAACAGGCUUGCUGUGUGGUUUUAAAACAUGUCUACAGAUUCUCUGACACUCCUCUUCCCUUCCCUUAACAUCUCAGAGGCCUUUGUACUUGCCUCAACAAAUCGCCACAAAAUAUGUGAUGGAAGUGAUGCUGCUUCUAGGACUUCUGCAAGUUUCUCUCGGCACACUGGCCUGGGAGCCUUCAGCUGCCAGGACCUAAUGUGCCACAUGAACAGGAGAAGAGCAAAAUGGGAAAGACAGCUUAAGGAGAGAAUAGUAAAGGUUUGAAACAGACCCAGACAAAAUGGUUGAGUAGAGGCAAAAGGACUGUACAGACGGUAGCCAUUUGCUGACAUUCCCUGAAUGACGAAUUGUGGAAUGAAUUAGAGCUGCUGCACAUUCUGAAGAUUUCAAAAGUAGCUGUGCUUCAGUUAAGUGCUUAUUCAAUUUUCAGAUGAAGUCAUCAAAUUAAUUUUAAAACUCACAAAAUAAAUAUGUGCUUUAAAAUAUAUGUUUUUUCCUAAGAAAGUAAAAAUUAUCUGUUUAGGUUGUGAGAAUAUUUAAUAGUGUCAAAAAUAAAAGAGAGAGAAAAGGCUUCAACUUUUAGUUAAAUACCCAACAGCAAACUAUCUAAUCAAUAGGGUAUUUCUAGGCAUUUUCCUGGUGAAUUGACUACAGUUCUACAUAUGCAAACCCCAUGGCUUUAAUUUGUCUUUAAUUAAUAAAUUCUUUGACAAUUUGGUCUCUUGAACCUAUGAUUUUUUUUGUUCUCAUCAGAAAUAUGAACCUUAAAUAUAGUUGAAUACAGGCAAAAAUUAAAUAAAUUCAAUGACCAUGUAUUAUUCAUGGAAGCAACCAUAAAGAAAGUUAACCUUGAAAAUAUAUUGCUUUCUUUUUUUCCAUUAAUGUAUUUGGUUGGGAGUUUAUACCAAAUGAUUACUCAGUGAUGCUUUUAUUAAAACUACACCUCAAGGCCAUUCAGCCUGCUGUUUAAGGUUUUGCUCAAAAGAAAUAGCAGAAAGAAGUCAAGGUCAAAAAAAAAAAAAACAAAAACAAAAACACAAAACCUAAAUGUAUGUGAAGAUAAAGGAAAUAUUCUUUAGAUCAACAAAAAACAUUGAUAACAGAAUGUAGUAUUAAUACCAAAAAAUUGAAAGGAAACCAAUACACUAUCUUAUAAACAUAUGUAACCAAAUAUAAUAUAAAGAAUUGCUGUUAAAAUAUGUAAAUAGAAGUCAGUAAUUUAUCAAGUGACUUUAAUAAAUCACAAAUCACCUUUUAAGCUACUGGGAAAAAAGGUUACUAACUUUAUUGAUAGAAAUAUAUUAUCGGGGAAGUGAGAACAAAUCGUAUUUCUUUCCAGUUCGGAAACAAUUGGUAAAAUCAACAAACUGUUGUUUAGAUAUCUUCACAAGAACAAUGAAUAAUGAGAAAGCUAUACCCAAUAUUUCCUUAAAAGUCCCUUUGGCCCUUGUCAAUCUACAAGUCCCCCAUUCCCAGUGGUGCACAAUUUCAACCCAGAUGACAGUUCAUUUUCAGAAAGGGGGCUUGUAUUAUAGGAGGCUCACAUAACAUAGGAAUUGCCUGAAUAUUCUGCACCUCCCUUCUAUGUAGCCUAGUCGAUAACUAUACACAAGUCAAGGAAAAAAAAAAAAUUUCCUUGAUCCCAGAGAACUUAAUUAUCCAACAAGGUGAAGUUUACACCUAUAAGCACUAAGAUGGGGACACAUGCACAUAUACCCUCCUUUUCAUUAAUCUUUCAUGUAAAACAUAAUUUAGUCAAUUCUUGAGGACUCAGGUGGCAACAUUAAAAAUAACACUCACUGAUUCAACUGUAAGCAAAUCCUACCUGCCUCAUGGCAUGGGAAUAGAAACAUAAACAUGAUAGUUCCAUUCUCAAGGAUUCAACAUUUCACUGGGCAGAAAAACAAGUAAAUAACCAUGAUUUUUAAAAUGCGUGAGUGCACCUGUAGUUCAAGCUACAUGGGAAGCUG
rnacentral:lncRNA from 1 species